rnacentral:rRNA from 1 species
AAACUUUCAACAACGGAUCUCUUGGUUCUGGCAUCGAUGAAGAACGCAGCGAAACGCGAUAAGUAAUGUGAAUUGCAGAAUUUAGUGAAUCAUCAAAUCUUUGAACGCACAUUGCGCCUGCCAGUAUCUGGCAGGCAUGCCUGUCCGAGCGUCAU